GACGAACGCUGGCGGCGUGCUUAACACAUGCAAGUCGAACGGAAAGGCCCUGCUUUUGUGGGGUGCUCGAGUGGCGAACGGGUGAGUAACACGUGAGUAACCUGCCCUUGACUUUGGGAUAACUUCAGGAAACUGGGGCUAAUACCGGAUAGGAGCUCCUGCUGCAUGGUGGGGGUUGGAAGGUUUCGGCGGUUGGGGAUGGACUCGCGGCCUAUCAGCUUGUUGGUUGGGUAGUGGCUUACCAAGGCUUUGACGGGUAGCCGGCCUGAGAGGGUGACCGGCCACACUAGGAUUGAGCUACGGCACAGCCUCCUACGGGAGGCAGCAGUGGGGAAUAUUGCACAAUGGGCGGAAGGCUGACGCAGCAACGCCGCGUGCGGGAUGACGGGAAUGGGGUUGUAAUCCGCUGUCGCCUGUCACGAGACGUGAGUGACGGUAAUGGGUGAAGAAGCACCGGCUAACUACGUG
rnacentral:rRNA from 1 species